rnacentral:misc_RNA from 1 species
UCCGGUUUGGCACCUGUGUUGCGGUUCCCUUUCGGGCACCGAGGUAUCUCUACCCCCUUCCGCACAUGUCAAGGGUAGGUAAGGUUUUUCGCGUUGCAUCGAAUUAAUCCACAUAAUCCACCGCUUGUGCGGGUCCCCGUCAAUUCCUUUGAGUUUCAGCCUUGCGGCCGUACUCCCCAGGCGGGGUACUUCCUGCGUUAGCGCCGGCACCCAGAGGGUCGCUCCCCCAGGCACCUAGUACCCAUCGUUUACGGCGUGGACUAC